rnacentral:lncRNA from 1 species
AAAGUGUUUAAAGGAGGCUGAGGAGAACGUGGAUAUGGAACUUGGGAAUGAAGCUGAGGGAAAAGUUUCAAAAAUAUUGGAGGAUGGUAUCUUCGGAGAGAGAGUUACAGGAGAUGCAACACUAUCUAAGAUCCAUACCAAUAAUCAAGAUGGUUUACAAAGAAAAGCAGUACCUGGAAAGGAGCUUCAGGUUCGCUGCUGUUCCAUAAUCGCCUAAGAAGAAAGACGCUCCAGGUAACUCCAUUAUCAACGCUGUCUCAAGCUCGCAGAGACAGAGGAGGAGAAACAAGUAAGU